rnacentral:rRNA from 1 species
UACGAAGGGGGCUAGCGUUGUUCGGAAUUACUGGGCGUAAAGCGCACGUAGGCGGACUUUUAAGUCAGGGGUGAAAUCCCGGGGCUCAACCUCGGAACUGCCUUUGAUACUGGAAGUCUUGAGUAUGGAAGAGGUAAAGUGGAAUUGCGAGUGUAGAGGUGAAAAUUCGUAGAUAUUCGCAGGAACACCAGUGGCGAAGGCGGCUACUGGUCCAUUACUG